CUAACUGGCCAUGCCGCCUUGAACAUUCCUGAUUUCACCUAAUCUUGGAUGCUGGUCAGGGUCGGGCCUGGUUAGUACUUUGAUGUAAGAAAUUGGAAAAUAGCUUAAA
rnacentral:rRNA from 1 species